CACCAACCCGCCCACCCUCUCUAAAACUUUCCCCUCUCUCGCUCGUCUCGCCCUCUCCCCUGCACCACUCAUCGUCGCCACCUAUGGCGCCCGAUGUCGCCCAAUUCUGGCACCAUCCGAUGGUGCCCAGCCCACCCACGGCUUCCUCUCGCUAUGCUCUUUAUUAUCCACCGCAUCGAUUUGAUUUACCCCGUAUCAUGUGGUCGCCGACAUCACUUCCACUUUCUAGGGUUUUGGUGGUGGGGUGGACCUCAUCGUCUAUCUCCUGCUCGACCUCGUGGCGGUGGUGAUAGCACGUGUGAGAUGCUCCUCCCCGACAAGGUCGUAGCUGGAUCCCCUUCUUUCCACCGCAGGAUCCGCUCCUCUCCCACGAGGCCGCUGCCGGAUCCCCUCCUCUCCGACAGCAACGCCUACAAAUCCGCUCGUCCUCGACAACAGCAACCAACUUCGAAGUGGCCGAUCCUCUCCCCAUCGCCGCCGCCCAUGAGGAUCCAGGACGACGACUACCACGACUUCGCUGACUUGCGGUCCCUCCUCCUCGAUGGGAGACUCUUCCAUUGAGGAGAUCGAGGAUCUGGCUGGAUUUGUGCGUCUUCGAUCUGAUGCGUUUGUGCACGCAUGUGUUGAAUAGUGUCCUCGGAUCUGGUGUAGGGCGCCAAGGAGAAGAAGCUCAAGGUCAAGGGCUCUGUCAGGAUGGCCACCAAGGUGCUCAACAUCACCACCAGGAAGUCCCCAUAUGGAGAAGGUAGCCACCUCCCUCUGUUUUCCCUUCCACUCGAUCCCAUUUGCUUGGUAGCUCUGCAUAGAAUCUAGUCCAUCUAGUCCUUGACAUGCUCACAGUAGCUCGUCGGUGAUGUGGGUCGCUAUGUUUUUUUGGAUACCUGACUGUUUAGGGAAUUUCUGUGACGAUGAUGAUGUCGUACUGAGCAAAGGAUGUGAAACAUUUAGACGGCUGCGGCCUUUUCGAUCUUUGAUGAUCUAAAAUCGAGCUAUUUAAAACUGAUGCCUAGCAUGCCAUCAAUGUGUUUUUAUUCCUCAUCUAGAGAUGCAACUCUGUGUGUUGGUGUGAUAUAAUGUAGAGGAGUUGGAUGUGAAUCAUUUGUGAGCUGAGCAUAUGAUGUUACAGGGAGAUGCUACUGAGAUUUUACGUCGUUGAAGUAUCUUAAACCGAGCUUCUUAAAACUGAUCUUGGUUGAUCUAGUUCUAGUAUAUUAGUUGGGUGAGAGUCUAUUGUUGUUGGUGUUGUGUAGUCAUUUCUUUUUACGUCGUUGAAGAAUAAAAAAGAUGAGCAUUUCUCCAGCCAAUGUCUGAAGUAGUUGUUGUCGUAUAGUCAGAUGGACUUAUGCAUUUCAUUAGAAGUCUGAUAUAGAUUGGACUAUACUUCUGAAUAGAAUGAAACAUUUCACUUUCGUUUAUAUUUCUUCAAUUCUUUUGAUCGAACAACUCUCUUGAACACAUGUACGUUAGUGCAGUGAUGGCUAAACAACUACAGUAGAUCGACAUUUUUGUAUUUCUCAACCUUGGGUAUUUUGCCAAAAAUAAACCCUUAGAUUUGUUGUCAUUCCUUUGAUAAUAAUUUGUUGUGUCUGUUAAGUAUUUUUUAGGAGUAAUAAACCUGGCUCUUUCAUGUUGCAACCCAACAGCUGCACCCAUGUUUUUCUGCGUACUACACAUAUUUGCUCCACUGCUCUUAGUUUUAACUAGCCAAGGCAAGGAUGACGCCCACCAUCGCUGUUAGAUUUAUUAUCCAUGUUGGACUUUUUUCGUUUAUGCUUGCCCACAAUCUAAAUGUCUGCUCAUGGCAUUAUUUAUCAAACAAGGGAUUGCCACCUGUCCCCAACUUGAUUGAGUUAGGCUUCGGUUUGCACGUCUCUUUCAGCUUGCAGGAUUAGUGUUACUGCAAGUAAUCCACUUUUUUUGUAAUGGAUGGUGGUGACAUUAUUUAAGCCAUUGUAGAGUUUUUGAUAGGGUUAAACAUUUGGAAAGAUAGAUCCAUUUAACCUUGCAGUACCAGUGUCUGCAAGCAUUGGCUAUUGUUAGUAAAAUGUUGAGCUCUUCCUUUAUAUCAUUGUCUUAUUGCUAUCCUUUUUUCAAGGCUGAUGCAGUACCUCGUUUUUCACUCGGACUUGCCUCUUGUUUGUUUCCUUUAUAUCGUUGUCUUAUUGAUAUCCUUUUUUCAAGGCUGAUGUAGUACCUUGUUCUUUUCACUCAGACUUGCCUCUUGUUUGUUAGUUUUGCUGUGAUAUAAUCUUCUAUUAUAAUUGGGUAAUAUUAACUCCCCUGUAGUAGAAUGGAUGGUCGUGGUAGUAGAAUAGUACUCCCUCUGUAAACUAAUAUAAACUAAUAUAAGAGCAUGCUAUUAUAUUAGUUUACAGAGGGAGUACUUUUCUUCGGGUGAAUGUGUUACAGUGUUGUUCAUUGCAUGACUGAUACGUCUCCAAUGUAUCUAUAAUUUUUUAUUGUUCCAUGCUAUUAUAUUACCCGUUUUGGAUGUUUAUGGGCUUUAUUAUAUACUUUUAUAUUAUUUUUGGGACUAACCUAUUAAUCAGAGGCCCAGCCCAAAAUGUUGUUUUAUUGCCUAUUUCAGUGUUUUGAAGAAAAGGAAUAUCAAAUGGAGUCCAAACAGAAUGAAACCUUCGGGAGAUUUAUUUUUGGAACGGAAGCAACCCAGGCGACUUGCAGUAGACGUCAGGGAAGCUUCAAGGAAGCCAUGAGGUAGGGAGGCACGCCCUGCCCCCUUGGGCAUGCCCCCCACCCUCGUGGGCCCCUCGUGGCUCCCCUAACUGACUUCUUUCACCUAUAUAUACCAAUAUACCUAAAAACAUCCGGGAGAACAAUAGAUCGGGAGUUCCGCCGCCAGAAGCAUCCGUAGCCACCGAAAACCAAUCUAGACCCGUUUCGGCACCCUGCCGGAGGGGGGAAUCCCUCUCUGGCGGCCAUCUUCAUCAUCCUGGCGCUCUCCAUGACGAGGAGGGAGUAGUUCAUCCUCGGGGCUGAGGGUAUGUACCAGUAGCUAUGUGUUUGAUCUCUCUUUCUCUCUCGUGUUCUUAAGGUGGUACGAUCUUGAUGUAUUGUGAACUUUGCUAUUAUAGUUGGAUUUUAUGAUGUUUCUCCCCCUCUACUCUCUUGUAAUGGAUUGAGUUUUCCCUUUGAAGUUAUCUUACCGGGUUGAGUCUUUAAGGAUUUCAGAACACUUGAUGUAUGUUUUGUUGGGG
rnacentral:rRNA from 1 species